CACGUGACCUCUUGAGAGUGGACUUGUCAUUCUGACCGACAGAGCGACCGAGCGUGACAAAGUUAUUAGGUACACCAUUCAAGCCAAAUCCACAAAGCAUCUUUCAUCCUGUGGCAACCUCUCAUUUUAGGUGGAGGAUGUCAAAUACACAGCCAACAUAACUAAGGUCGUCAGCAACAGAGGAGGAGCUGCUGGAAGGAAGAUCCGACUCCUCAUGGCUCCAACAGC